UACGUAGGGUGCGAGCGUUAAUCGGAAUUACUGGGCGUAAAGCGUGCGCAGGCGGUGAUGUAAGACAGGUGUGAAAUCCCCGGGCUUAACCUGGGAACUGCAUUUGUGACUGCAUAGCUAGAGUACGGUAGAGGGGGAUGGAAUUCCGCGUGUAGCAGUGAAAUGCGUAGAUAUGCGGGAGGAACACCGAUGGCGAAGGCAAUCCCCCUGGACCUGUACUGACGCUCAUGCACGAAAGCGUGGGGGAGCAAACAGG
rnacentral:rRNA from 1 species